ACUAAAAGGUUCCUCUACCUACACCCUCGUGGGCUGGAGUAGUGGCGGGAGGGCCUACUAUACGAACAGCUCUAGGAGCAGGCGGAGGCGACGAGGGCGCGGCGGCGCGCGUGGCCGCCGGAGAGGGCGAGCACCGCGCCGGAGACCUGGGCGGAGGGGUGGGUGCAGAAGGCGCCGCAGCGCGAGCCGAGGCAGGUUCGCCGCGAGCGAAGCUAGUUUCGGCUCCCGCCGGGGCCGCGCUCGCACUGCGAGGAGCUGUAGAGGCAAGGCCUCCGCAGGGAGAGGCUUAGCCUCAACUCUCUCGCGCAGGGGUUCGACGACCUGCGGCGGCGCCUCGAGAGCGGCCACCUCAAGGCGGAGCGGCAGACCCUUUUGUGCGGCAAGUUCAUGCAGUUUCACCAGCACGGGGCGAAGGGUGCGCGGUGGAGCCACCAGCCACCUCGACGUUCCCGACCUAGAGCGGAAGCGGCUGGUCGGUACGUCGACCGUCCCCAAGGGCCGCGACCUCUCCGAGAGGGAGUGCUCGACGGCGCGGCAGGAGUGGUUGGACGACGCGGCGACAGGCGCCGACGCGCACAACUCCGAGUCCCUACUAGAAGAACAGACAGUUGUGUGUUUGUAGUAGUAGUUUAGGAGCAGCGACGUCCUCGACCUACACCUCUUGUCCCAGGGGAAGGACGUGGCGUAGGUGUAGGUGCGUGGACGCGAGUUCGCUAACCGGUACAGGAAACGGUCGUCGUUGUUGUAGUAACACAGCCACAGGCAAAGCCGUGGUCACGACCUCUUCCAGAGUACCGCGACGUCCAUAAGGUGGCACAGGUGGCCCGAACCACACAGACAGCCGGAACCGGGAGCCCCGGAGAACAGACACUCUAAUGUCUGCCGUCUCUGGUUACCUGUCCAAGUAGGAGUGCAGGUACAGGACAGCGACAAGCGACGGCGGGUACAUACAGCGAGUUAAAGAGUCUAAGCGGUUGAUAUUCGAUGAUGCAUGAGGGGGACAUUUCUUUAUAUUCUCGCAACACUAGAUCUGCGAGAAUAAAAGAAAUGUCUCCCUCAUCGACUAUAUUGGCGGUUUAACAAAGAACAUCUGAAGUAUAUCUAAAAGUCUCCCCGAGUUGGAAUGCUGCCUCUAUCUCUCUGUAUACCAAUGGGAAAAGAGACACGACCUCGAUGUGCAGGUUUGCAACCCCGUACAAAAACCUCGUAAACGUAACGUAUAUAAACUGUAGCUUGCCUAGGCGUGAUUAUGUCUUUCGGAAUUCCAGUAGGACUACUCUAGUCUCCUAUUACUUCGUACGGGUCUUUUAACGCGAACACUCGACGGGUUAUUAUUGACCUCUUCGGUUUGAUAGAGGCCCUGGUACUGGUUUGAACUUUUCCACCUUUAGUUUCCUAAGGUUCCUCUUCUGGUACUCAAACUAAAGAACUUCGACUAUAAAUCGACGCGUGGUUUAGACUUUUGUUACAGACACUCCGACCGUCUACUAUAGCGCCUUUCGUUGCUAACGACGGUCUUUUAUGUACUACAGAAGUUCCGCAUAAAGUACCUUACGUUACACCUACAAGCAAGCGGAACCCAGUUAUACGUCGACGGUAUCACCACGCGGCUGUACUACUAGAAGUAACAGUACAAAUGGUCAAGUCCCCGAGUAGCUUCUCUAGGAAGAUAGGGCACAGCUGGCUGAGGUGAUCGAUGAGGGAGGAAGGUAGAUAUAUUCCGGAUUGGGGUUUAAAGUAAAAAGGUAGAUAUGUUCCGGUUUGCUCGAUUGGUUACGUAGAGGGUGAAUUAAGGAGGAGCGUGUAGCGCACCAGCAGGAGCACUUUUGCGUUACCGCCAUCGUAACUAAACGUACGUACGUGUCUCGUCAAUAAUCCUCACGAAGUGGAGCGGAGGAGGAGGAAAAAGAGGUGUUUUGACAAAGAAAACCGGUUACGUACGUACUGACCUCCUCAAUAACAACCGACGUACGUCUUUUUCCUCCUCUCCUUCAACGCACACUACCACACUCACUAAUUACUUCAUAAUAUGGGUUAUAAACGAGGAGAAAAAUACGUUGUCGGAACCAUACUCUCUAAGUUUUGAAUCCGGGACAUAUCUACCUUCCUCCCUCAUCGACCAAAGUCCUAAAACGAACCAACGAAGUACAAUAAAACGAUUAUUACGUCACACCUUAACAAGUACCACAGGUCAAGCAGUUGACUCACGCUGCUCAACUAGUGUACCAACAACAGACUUAAAGUACAUGAUACUUUUCCAAACACUGUAAGGGUAUACUUUUCCAAGAGUAGAAGAACGAGUCCUUUAACACAGGACUCUAGAAACCAAAUAAAUGUUGUUCCUUGUCAAUAAACAUUUUGACCAAGAGGCUG
rnacentral:rRNA from 1 species